UAGUGUCUGAAUGGAUGGAAAACGGAAAUU
rnacentral:piRNA from 1 species